rnacentral:rRNA from 1 species
CCUACGGGGUGCAGCAGUGGGGAAUAUUGGACAAUGGGCGAAAGCCUGAUCCAGCCAUGCCGCGUGUGUGAAGAAGGCCUUCGGGUUGUAAAGCACUUUCAGUGGGGAAGAAAGCCUUGGGGCUAAUACCCUCGAGGAAGGACAUCACCCACAGAAGAAGCACCGGCUAACUCCGUGCCAGCAGCCGCGGUAAUACGGAGGGUGCGAGCGUUAAUCGGAAUUACUGGGCGUCAAGCGCGCGUAGGCGGUCUGAUAAGCCGGUUGUGAAAGCCCCGGGCUCAACCUGGGAACGGCAUCCGGACCUGUCAGGCUAGAGUGCAGGAGAGGAAGGUAGAAUUCCCGGUGUAGCGGUGAAAUGCGUAGAGAUCGGGAGGAAUACCAGUGGCGAAGGCGGCCUUCUGGACUGACACUGACGCUGAGGUGCGAAAGCGUGGGUAGCAAACAGGAUUAGAUACCCCAGUAGUC